rnacentral:lncRNA from 1 species
UGCUGUCUGCUCGUUGCUAGGCUGGCUCACUUCAACAGUUUUGCCAAUAUCUCCUGAACAAAUUAUUAUCAACAAUCUAAAUUCUGAUUUAUCAAUAAAACGAUCGUUAGUAAUUUUAAAAAUUGAACGAAAAUUGUUCACAAUACUAUUGCUCUAAUCGCUUAUUCGAACAUCUCUAACUGACACAACCUAGAGAAAUUAUUUUGUACUCAUGGUUACAUUUGCAUGCACGUGUGCGUUGAAAUAGUAACUAGUUACCUUUCUUCUAGCGUUUUUGAACCUCUCACAAGCAUAGGUCUUUUCGAAUAAACGUGGAGAUUCUGCUUUGUGUUUGUUGAAAAAGCAAAUUAAACGAUCUUGAACCAUAAUGAGGUGAAUUUCGACUGUAAAAAAUUACGUGGAGUACACUCAACAAAUGGUUAUUCUUUAUAGUCUUCUGGAUUGAAAACCACAAGCGGCGAUACUUUACUUUGAAUAAGAAAUUCCUGAAAUACUUCUUGAGAAUCUAAUUCUUACAGCAUUCGCGGCUGCUCCCGUACCGCCGAGUUCAUCCAUGGAAACAGAUGAUCCGCAACUUCCCGCCUGUGCUCACAUACCAAAU